UGGCGGCCGCACCAGGAAACAGUUCUGAGAAUUCUGUGACGAUUGUUGAUGACGAGCAGUGUUUUGACUGCGAGGGCAUCGGUGGAGGUGUAAGAGGAAUGAGAAACUGCUGACGAAUGGAUGAUGGAAGGAUGACAAGCUUUAAGAUGAGAGGAGCAGCGGAGUGAUUCACAGUGCAAUCAGCAAGCAGUUCUUCACAUUACAAGCCUUUUUAGAGCAGGAACGCUCUAAAAGGGGCCACGACAAACUGGUCAUGCAGAGUACAGACAAACAAAAAACGGACACACGUUCCUUAAAAAACAAUUAGAAAAAACCCUCUCAUCUCAUGAUGUAGGUAAACUUGACAAUAC